rnacentral:rRNA from 1 species
UCGAGCGAAGCACUUUGUUUUGAAUCUUCGGAGGAAGAACGAAGUGACUGAGCGGUGGACGGGUGAGUAACGCGUGGGCAACCUGCCUCAUACAGGGGGAUAACAGUUAGAAAUGACUGCUAAUACCGCAUAAGACCACAGUACUGCAUGGUACAGUGGUAAAAACUCCGGUGGUAUGAGAUGGGCCCGCGUCUGAUUAGCUAGUUGGUGAGGUAACGGCUCACCAAGGCAACGAUCAGUAGCCGACCUGAGAGGGUGACCGGCCACAUUGGGACUGAGACACGGCCCAAACUCCUACGGGAGGCAGCAGUGGGGAAUAUUGCACAAUGGGGGAAACCCUGAUGCAGCGACGCCGCGUGAGCGAUGAAGUAUUUCGGUAUGUAAAGCUCUAUCAGCAGGGAAGAAAAUGACGGUACCUGACUAAGAAGCCCCGGCUAACUACGUGCCAGCAGCCGCGGUAAUACGUAGGGGGCAAGCGUUAUCCGGAUUUACUGGGUGUAAAGGGAGCGUAGACGGCGAUGCAAGCCAGAUGUGAAAGCCCGGGGCUCAACCCCGGGACUGCAUUUGGAACUGUAUAGCUAGAGUGUCGGAGAGGCAGGCGGAAUUCCUAGUGUAGCGGUGAAAUGCGUAGAUAUUAGGAGGAACACCAGUGGCGAAGGCGGCCUGCUGGACGAUGACUGACGUUGAGGCUCGAAAGCGUGGGGAGCAAACAGGAUUAGAUACCCUGGUAGUCCACGCCGUAAACGAUGACUACUAGGUG